GGAUUCUAGUUUCCACUAAGAAAUUAGUGUAAUUUCUCAAAUUGGAGGUAGAGACUAUCAAUUUGAAUAAAAUAAUGGAAGAAUCUUUACACUAAAAUCCAUAUUUUUAGGCUUAAUCAAUUCAUAUACUAAUUAGAUUUUGAUUUUUUUUUAUAGUUAUGGCCACCAUCUUAUCGCUCCGAUCACUAUUAGAUAGUGAUAAAUUGAUGGGAUCAAUUUUGAUAGCUGGUAUCGAAAGCUUUAAAGAGUCCUGAAAUAUGAACAGAUCUUGUAUGUAUUGACAAAUCCGACACCC
rnacentral:lncRNA from 1 species